CCUCCCGCCGUCCUCACCUGGGUUUUCGCUCCCUCAUACAUAUCCUUAAUUACUCUGCUAUAUGCCUGCGGUACUCCACUCACCUCCAAGCAUCUCCAAAGCACCUCCCUGGGGACUUUGUCGUACGCCUUUUCUAGGUCGAUGAACACCAUGUGCAAAUCCUUCUUCCUUUCCCUAUAUUGCUCCACCAACCGCCGUACCAGGUGAAUUGCCUCCGUCGUCGAGCGGCCGGGCAUAAAUCCGAACUGAUUUUCCGAGAUAGACACUAUCCGUCUCAGCCUCACCUCGACCACUCUCUCCCAGAUCUUCAUAGAGUGACUCAGUAACUUAAUCCCCCUAUAGUUAUUGCAACACUGAAUGUCCCCCUUAUUCUUAUAGAGGGGGAUCAUGGUACUCCACCUCCACGCCUCGGGCAUCUUUGCUGUCCUGAAAAUUUCAUUGAACAAUGCAGUCAACCACCUUACACCAGCCUCUCCAACGAACUUCCAAAACUCCACCGGUAUCUCAUCCGGCCCCGUCGCCCUACCCCUUCGCAUCCUGCGGACUGCCUGUCUAACCUCGUCUACCUUAAAACGUCUACAAUAGCUAAAAUCCCGACACUCCCCUGAGUGCUCCAGUUCCCCUAACACAAUAGCUCUGUCCCCCUCGUCAUUCAAGAGCCUAUGAAAGUACGACUGCCAUCUCUUCUUUAUGUGGCCGUCCUCCACCAACACUCUACCGUCCUCCCCCUUAAUGCACCGCACCUGAUCGAGGUCACGACCCUUCCUCUCCCUAGCCUUAGCGAGUCGGAACAACUUUUUCUCCCCUCCUUUCCCCUGUAACCCUGCAUACAAGCUCUCAAAAGCAGCCGUCUUAGCUGCCGUGACCGCUGACUUCGCCUCCUUCCUUGCUAGCUUGUACUCUUUCCUGUUUACCCGCUUCUCCUCUUCGUCCUUACUUUCCACCAACUUAGCAUACGACUCUUUCUUGGUCUCCACUUUCUUCCCCACCUCUUCAUUCCACCACCAAUCCCCCCGAUGAUGUCCGGCCCGGCCCCUAGAAACACCCAACACCUCCCUUGCAUUUUCCCUGAUGCACGCUGCCGCCCUGUCCCACAUAUUAUCCACGUCCCCCCUACACUCCCACACCCCCAUUCCCGCCAACCUCUCCCCUAUCUCCCACGCAUUCACUGGCGUCAAACCGCCCCACUUAAUUCUCGGUCUACACUCCUUACUCCUCCUCUUUUUAUUCUUCUUCAUACCCAAAUCCAUAACCAAGAGCCUAUGUUGGGUCGAAAGGUUCUCACUCGGGAUGACUUUACAAUCUUUACACAGCGCCCUAUCCCCUUUCCUAAGCAACAAGAAGUCAAUCUGGGUCCUGGCUACCGCGCUCCGAAAAGUGAUCAGGUGGUCGUCCUUCUUCGGGAAGCCCGAGUUCACCACCACCAGCCCAAACGCCCUCGCAAACUCCAAUAGGGUCGCCCCCUCUUCAUUUCUCUCCCCAAAACCAAAACCUCCAUGCACAUCCCCAAAGCCUCCCGGUAGCGCCCCGAUGUGCCCGUUGAAAUCCCCUGCUACCACAAUCUUCUCCGAACUGGGCACGCCUCUCACCACGUCCUCCAAGGCCUCCCAGAACCGCAUCUUCUCCUCCCCCUCCGAUCCCACAUGCGGCGCAUAGGCACUACACACGUUCAGGGUAAACCCCCGAAUGACCAACUUGAUAGUCAUCAACCUAUCGUUGAUCCUCUUCACCUCCACUACCUGACCUCUAAGCUCUUCAUCUACCAAGAUGCCAACUCCAUUCCUACGCCUGUCGCUCCCAGAGUAAAUACACAAAAUAAUAUAUAUAAAAAAAAUUAAAUUAACAGUAUUCACAAAUGAUCUAAUUAGGAUAUUCAUCAGCCUUACUUUUUGUCAACAAUCAUUUUAACUAACUCUCAAAUUUCGAAACAAAUAAAUAAGCUUAAAAAGUUAAGACACAGAACUUACAAUACUAUCAUGUAAAUAAUUAAUUCUACUUACUACAUGAUACAUGAAAAUGCUCAGAUAGUUUUAUUCAUAUUUUAGUUCAUAAAUAAUAAUAAUAAUAAUAAUAAUAAUAAUAAUAAUAAUAAUAAUAAUAAUAAUAAUAAUAAUAAUAAUAAUGAAUCGAAUAGGAGCUUUCGUAAUAGUCAAUGAAAAUUUAGAUUAAGAACAUAAUAUUCAAACUUUAUACCACAACCUUUAAAAAUGCUAGUUUUCUGCAUAUAUAAUUAUUUUUAAAACUAUAUUUAUUUUUAUAUUACUGUUUUCUACUAUUUCACCUUCUGUUUCUAAGCCUUUCACUUCUUUAGCCCUUUUUUUUUUAAUCUUCUUUCUCUUUGUUUUUAUUAUGUAAAUCUAUGUCUGCAUGAUUUCCUUUAGCGUAUGCAUGUGCCUUUUUUUAUAACUCUUGAACCACUAUUUUUAAUUAUACAAUGAAACUUUCAUAAUCCACUAAAAACAAAAUUAAAAAUGUCAAAAUGAUAAGUUGAUAUAUUUUUUUUAAAAAGGAAACGAUGCAUUUUAUUUUAUCCAAAAAAAAAAAAAAGAAACACUGUAAUGUUUAUAAUUAACAAAACCAACCACAAAACAUAGUAAGCAAACAAAUCACAACAUAGCAAUUGAAAAUCACUUACAAACUAAUUAUGAUUAUAUUUUUUAAACUAACUUUGAUCAUGAUUUUGGUUCACAAUACAACUUAUAAAAUAAAUAGUACUAGAUCGAACAAGAACCUGUAUGAUAGGAUAACUAAAGUAGAAACAAGGAUGCCUUCACCAAAAAACUCAACGAAGAUUCGAAACUCGAUUUGCCACUCUUGCUUUUCUUUGCUUUCUUUUCUGGUUUUUACUGUAUUUUCUCUCUGAUUUUUCUAUUUGUUUCUUUCUUAUCAAUGUAUGUAGUUUUUUUUUUGUUUUCUGAUGCCGUAUCUGAUGAUCUAGUCUCUGAUCAGGGUGUGAUGCAGUAUGUGUAGAAUAGUGUACGUAUGAUAGGAAGAGUCCAUAAAUAGGGGAUGUCUUUUGGGGGAACAGUUGGGUAGAGAUUAGAUAAGGGGAGAUUUAAAAUUUAAAUAUUUUUCUUUUUCUUUCUUUCAUUUUUUUUCUCAUUUUUUUUCUAGAAGAUAGUAAUAAUAACAAAUAUAAACAAUAAAUAAAUAAUAAUAAUAAUAAUAAUAUAAUUACAACUAAUUAAUUUUUAUAUUUAAGAAAAUACGUUAAAAGUUAAAAAAUAGUUAAAAAUAAAAAUAAUUAAGAUAGUACUAAAAAUAUUAACUUGUUUGUUUAAAAUUUAAAAAGAAAAUAUUUUUAAAAAUUUUUGUAUUAUUUUUAAAAAAUUAGAAUAAAAUCAACAUAAAACAUCUAAAAAUUAACUUUAUUUUUUAACUAAAAAUUUAUUAAAAUAAAAAUAAUAAUUUAAAUAAUAUUAGACCAAAUAUAAAUAUUUAAUAUCGAAAAAUAUAUAUAUUAAAUUCGGGGAGAGUCAAAAUCACGUGUCUACAUUUUGCCCCUCUUUGUUUGAAAUCUCGAAGAGUUUUCAUACAAAGAAGUAGUCAAAGAGAUGACUUUUGACCCUCUGAUUAUUCUAAAAGUAAAGAUAAAAUAAAAUAAAAUAAAAGAUGUGACCGAGUCCUGGUUUUGGACCGCCUACAUAUCCCGAGUUUUAAGGGAACCAAGUCACAUAUAGUUCAAUAUGGGAUAAAAUAAUGUGGUAGUGAGUUAGAGAUCGAGUUAGGUUCCGUCGAGUUUUUGGUUCACGACAUUCUGCUUUUACAUUGAAAUGAAUAACAACAAAAAAAUAAAAUGAAGAUACAAGUGAGAAAUCCUAUCUAUGCUAUUUUUUUUUUUUGAAUCUUGAUUUGAAUCUUCAUGACUUCUCAAAUGGUGAGAUAGUCAUUAUUCUGAGUUGAACUUGAUAUACGAAAUGUUCCUCCUCGUUGGCUUUUGGCAUUAGAAGGGAACUUGACAAUUGGUUUAUUCUUCAGAUUUUCUUCUGGCUUGAACUAAAAAAUCUUCACCCUAUUAUUUAGGCGGGCUCCAAUUCUGCUUGAAUACCAAAACAAGGAAGUAUGUCUCAAUGCCACUUGAAUUACCAAAUCAACAAAGUGCGUAUCCUCACCAAUUUUGCUUGAAUUACCAAAACAAGAAAGUGUGUUUCCUUAUCGAUGCUACUUGAAUUACCCAACAAGGAAGUGUGUCUCCUUACUAAUACCUCUUGCAUUAUCCAAAACAAGGAAAUUCGUCUCCUAACACAUGUCUCUUUAAUUACCCAAACAAGGAAGUGUGUCUUCUUACAAACGUUGCUUGAAUUUUUCAAUCAAGAAAGUGUGUCUCCUUAUAAAUGUCGCUUAAAUUACCCAAACAAGGAAGUGCAUCUCCUUACCGAUGCCGCUUGAAUUACCCAAAUUAGAAAGUAUGUCUCCUUACAAAUGCCGCUUGAAUUACCCAAAUCAAGAAGUGUGUCUCCUUACAAAUGUUGCUUGAAUUGUCCAAACAAAGAAGUGCGUCUCCUUACAAAUAUCGCUUAAAUUACCAAAUAAGGAAAUACAUCUCCCCACAAAUGUUGCUUGAAUUACCAAUCAAGGAAGUGUGUCUUACAAAUGUUGCUUGAAUUACCAAACAAAGAAGUGCUUCUCCUUACAAAUGUCGCUUGAAUUACUAAAUGAGGAAAUGCAUCUCCCCACAAAUGUUGCUUGAAUUACCAAACAAGGAAGUGCGUCUCCUUACAAAUGUUGCUUGAAUUACCAAAAAAGUAAGUGCGUAUCCCUACAAAUUUUGCUUGAAUUACCAAACAAGGAAGUGUGUCUCCUUAUAAAUGUUGCUUGAAUUACCAAACAAGGAAGUGUGUCUUCUCAUGAAUGUCACUUUGAGAAAUUACGGUCUUUGAUGUUUAGGCUUUGAAAUCAUUGAUUUAAAGGUAACAUGUGUUCCUGAAUAAUGAACUAACUACAAGAAGCAUGAUACUUCACCGAAAACUCAAACAGAAAUUUACUUCAACACUCGAUUUACAACUCUUUCUUUUCUUUAACUUGUUCUUCAGGCGAGCUCCUGUAUUUUCUUUUCUGAUUUUUUAAAAUAUGUUCCUGAACUCAUAAUAAAAGGUAAAACAGAAAAAUAACAUCCCAUUCUUCAGGAGGGUCCCAGACAUAAAAUAAAUUUCCAUUCUUCAGGAAGGUCCUAUCCCAUUCUUCAAGAGGAUACUGAUCAUAAAAAAUAAAUUUUCAUUCUUCAGGAGGGUCCUGUCCCAUUCUUCAGGAGGGUCCUGAGCAGAAAGUAAAAUUCAAUUUAACACGAACCAAAUUUUUGCCCUAAUUUAUACUAGAAAAUUUUUUAAGCAUCAUCUGAUUACCAUUUUUGAAAAUUACAUUAAGAGUGUGAAUCAAAGCCCUGCUCAAGAAAUGCGUCUCGUCGGAGUAAAAUUGAUGACCAAAAUUAGGAAGUGUGUCUCCUAAGAGUUAAAUUGAAGGACUCUACUAGAAAGUGUAUCUUCUAGGAGUGAAUGCUCAAGUUAGAAAGUAUUUUACCUAACAAAUGAAAACUGACUUAUUCAGACUAAGAAGUGCGUCUCCUAGGGAUUAAAUGAAAUGACUCAACUAGAAAGUGUGUCUUCUAGGAAUGAUGGUUCAAGUUAGGAAGUGCGUCAUCUAAAAAAUGAAACUUGAAUUAUCCAGGCUAAGAAGUGCGUCUAUUAGGGGUUAAAUGAAAUGACUCAACUAGAAAGUGUGUCUUUUAGAAGUGAAUGGUUCAAGUUAGGAAGUGCAUCACCUAACAAAUGAGACUUGAAUUAUCCAAAUUAGGAAGAGUGUCUCCUAGGGGUUAAAUUUUUACCAUAAUUUGAUUAUCAAACCUGUGCAGCAACACUGCUUCCUGCAUCUAUGGAAAUGAGGCAUUGCAGCCCUUGAUAUUUAUGCUUUGAAGUCCUUAAUUUGAAGGUAACAUGUUUCCUAUUUCAUCAAAGAAAACUUGUGAUCUCAAAAAACAUGGUGGCAGGUUUGUGGCUUUAGCUUCCGUGGCAAUCACUCUUGCUCUCGUCACAUUUAUCCUUGCUUCCAACUAUUAGCAUCUGUCACCGACUUGCUGCAUCGUUGACCCAAACUCAGAUUAUUAGAAGUGACUUUGAAACAAGCAAAGUAUCUUUGUUUUGUCAUGCUCCUCAAAUAAACCCUUUAAACCUUGGUAUUUUCAUGAGUUUCCAGACUCGUCUGUUGAUAAAACUUUUCUGCAUGCCUUAUUUCGACUCACAAUCAUGUCUCUUUCAUGUGUUGGCUUUUUGUCUUGCUUUGUGCAAUUGAAGAAGAUGGUAGCCAGUUUUGAAAUUUUUUCUCACUUGUUAUGACACAGACUCGACUCAGAGACAUAAGAAAAAUGACAAUAAUUUUUAUUUGAUGAUAAAGAUGCCAAAAAAUCAAAAAUAGAAAAAUAAAAAGAAAAGGAAAAAAUAAUAGGCAUGAUUUUUUUUUAAACAACAGAAGAAAACUUAUUUGGGUAUGGUAUCCAAUUCCAGCAAUCAUGACAUACAUUUUGAUUAUACUUGAUCUAUCCACACUAAUUAUUACAACUUUUGUCCACUUAUUGAGUUUGAAAUGGACUCAACCUUUAAUAUGCUCUCUCUAGAUCACAAUCCUCCUUUGGCUAGUGACACCUCAAUGGGUUUUUUCCAAUGCCUAUCUCAUUUUCAUUUCUUUUUCAGCUCACUGUCGCCUUAUGGUGCCCAAAAGGAUUUUCACUAAUAAGACUCUCAUUUUUACUCAUUCAUUUUUUUCAUUCAUCUUUUUUUUAAAAAAAAAUAAUGCCCAAUAUACGAAACAUCGUGCACCCAUAACAUGUUUAGCUUUGACAUUCUCAAAGAUCGAUCUGAAGGUCUUUCUUCAGUUGUAACUUGGCUUUUGGAAAAGGUUAGAAAGAAAGGGAGGAAUGAGGCUAAAAAAUUUACAUAAUAUUGGGUGAAACAUACAACUUUUGGAAUCGACUCUUUUUAAAAAAUAAACUUUGCCCCAAUUUCAUUUCAUUCUGGGUAAUUUAAAUUUUCUUUUGGUUGGACCGAACCCCAGAGUAGGGCUGCCUACGUAUCUUGUCAUAGCAAGAAUCAGGUCUCACGUAAUUCGGAUAACUUGUUCUUUUACUUGAUUUUCUUUCUUUUUUUUUCUUUUCUUGACUUUUCUCUCUUUUUUUUCUUCUUUUUUUUUGAGAGAGAGAGAUAUUUUUUUCGACUCCAUUUUUUUAUACUUUUCUGACUUUGUUCUUUUUUUUCUUGACACUUUUCUGACUCUACUUUUUCUUGACACUUUUUUUUGCAGACACUAUUUUGAUUCCAAAAGAGGAAUAUAAAAGAAAUAAAACAAAAGCUCAAAAGGGAUAACAAAGGAUGACACAACAUUUGGAUAGCAGAAUGAAAUGCCUUCGUCAUAUCAAUCCUUAAAAACGCUAGUACAUAACAUGCAAUCUAGGAAUGGAACAUGAAGAUCAUACACAUCUUUUCAAUAUUGAUCGUGACUAAGCACAUGCAUGUGUGUUACUUUUUUUAAGCUUGUGAAACAUACAAGUCCACUUGUGUUAUACUUUUUCUCUCGAUGGAUGACUCAUGCCCUUUUGGAGCUAACUUCCUCUUGUUUUUCUUGAUAGUGGAUACUAUAUUUUAUGUGAUCGACCCUAUUCAAAAUUCUCGAAUUGAAUCUUCUAAGCGAUGAUCAAGUUAUUUUCUGAUUCACAAAGUGAUUGCCUCAAUAUAUUCAAGUGAGGUUGUAACUAUGUCCCCAAAUACCUAAACACUUAACUUAUUUUUCUUACAUUUUUUUUUUGUACUCUAGGUUCUUGAUCAAAUGUUUCAGCACUAGAUUGGGUUUUAAGAUUUGGCUGAAAAUUCAACAUGCAUAUCAUAUCACUGGAAUUGCCACAGAAGAAAAAAUAUGUAUAUAGAGAAAAAAAACAAUAUAUGUUUAAAUAAGAAAAACAAAAGGGACACAUAUUUUGUUAACAGAAAAGAUAGAAAGAUUUUGAACAAUAAUAAGACAAUAAGAUAACAUAGAUCCCGAACUACAAUCCAUAAAUAUUCGGGAAACAGAAGGAAAACAAAAUAGACUACCAAAACUCCUUCCAAGUAAGGGAAGAGGAGUGACUUCCAAAUUGUCGAGCUUAACAUCUUAGCCACUGGUUUGAAUAUCAACAUGACUAGAGCUUUUCUCACUGUCAAUGUUCUGUACCAUAAUUAAUCUAUCAUGAAUCACCAUUUCAAUUUCUCUUUUCAAAUCUAGACACUCUUCAAUACUAUGACUUCGGGCAUCAGAAUGAUACGAACAUCGUGUAUUAGGAUCAAAAUUUCUUGAACGGGGAUUAAGAGUGUGUCCAAGGAGAGGAGUAAUCAUGACCUCCUAUAUCAAUCUCUGAAAUAAACUAGCAUAUGACUCUCCAAUUGGUGUGAAGCUAUCUCUCAACUUCUGCCUCAUUUCAGUAUUUAACUUGGAUAAAAAAUUGGACCUAGAAAAGCUUUGGUAUAUUUGUGGAAUUGGAUGAUAACUCUGAGGAGUUGGUGUGUGCCAUUGUGGGUAAGAAAAUGGAUGAGCAUACAAUUGUGCAUUGUUUAAAGGAUACUGAUGAAGUAGAACGAUAUAUCUUGGAUUUUGCAAAGAGGAACCUUGAUGCAUGUGAGCAUAUGAAUUUGAUGUGCAAGCUCGGUAUUAAGACUGGCAAUAUUGCUGAGUUGGACCUCUUGAGCUCUGCUUUGCCCCUGUAACAAAAAUAGGUAUAUUUUCCUUUUUCUUCCCUUUUGUCCGUCUCAAUUGAUGGCAAUAUCGCCCCAAGUGUUUCACAAAAUCCUCGUACCUAUUAUGUUUCUCAAAUUUUGAUAUCUCAAGGCUUGGAGGAAGGUUAACACUUGAAGACACGUCUGCAUCUUUAUAUGUAACAUCUUCAUAAUUCAUAAUUUCCUGAGAAUUUUUUGUAGCCUUUUCUGUGCUCUUCAUUUUUCUAGCCAUUUUCUCUUGCUCUUCUGUCAUGUAAUACUUCUUAGUAAGAAAUUCUGGUGGUCCAACUAACAUAGACGUGGGCUCAGGAGUAUAAUAGUGAUCAUCAAGAGUGUUGAACAUCGACUUACUAGCAGAUUGGGGAGGCACAAUCGCCGGAUCAAAAGCUAAGGUAGAAACCUCAGUAGAGAGUGGAGCAACAGAAGCAGAGACUAUAGGUAUCGUUAUCGAUGUGCUAGAUUUAUACUGAAGAUCUAGAGAAGUAGUGAUUGAAACAUUGAGAUUCUUUUGUCUUGAAAUAGACUCUGAGGUAUGUUGUGGCGCAUAACCAACAACAGAAAACUAACCUUGCAAUUUUUGUUAAAAACUUAAGGUAUUUGUUGGGGCAAUAGUGGAAAAUGGCGAAAGAGGCAUCCCACUGGCCCAAGCUCGAUACAUUUCAAACAUUUGUUUCCUCAAACUCACAAUCUCUUAUUUUAACCUCUCAUUUUCCUGACUCUUUGUCUGAUCCAUGAUUUCACUUUCUAUAUUCUUGCUGGGCAUGACUCUUUUUCCUAAAUUUGGUGUAAUAUGAGGGACCAACCAAAAUACGACAAACGAACCACCUUAAAUUAACUGUGUAAGAAAUAACAAAGGCGUCAGAAUGCAAUAUUUUUUUCAAAAACUCUUUUUCUUUUAUCUUCUUUUUGAAAAGAUCACCGAACCCCAGAAGGAAUACCUACAUAUCUCAAUAAGAUGAGAAUCAGGUGUGCGUAGUUCUUGAAGCGGGAGAUCUAAAGAAACAUAAUUUUCUUUUAAUUUGAGAAAUGAGAAAUAUUUUUUUUGAAUUCAGUAAUAAUGAUAAAACACAUUUUAUUUUUGAAAAUAAAUUAAUUUAUUUUAUAUAUAGAUAAAAACUCUCUUCUUUAUUUAUUUAGAAGGAAACACAAAUAUAUUUUUUCUUUAAAAUCACCGAAUCCACGAAGGACUGCCUACGUAUCUCAAUAAAAUGAGAAUCAGGUGUACGUAGUUCUUGAAGCUUAUGUCGUACAAAAUUUAGCCUCAAGACCCCUAAAGGUUCAGGGCUAUUAAGAUUUAUAUUUUUUGUAAAAACUUAGCCUCAUGAUCCCUAAAGAUUCAGGGCUAUUAAGAUUUAUAUAUAUUUUUUAUUUUGUAAAACUUAGCCUCAUGAUCCCUAAAGAUUCUGGGUUAUUAAGAUUUAUAUAUAUAAAUUGAACUUGAGAAUAAGAAAAAUAAUUAUGAAAGUAAUCAUAUUUUCAAAACAUUCCCUAAUAAAUCUAUGAAUAAUUUUUCAAAAGAUAGGGUUGUACCCCGAAAAAGGGAUUCCUACGUAUCUCAAUUAAGAGUGAGAAUCAGACCCUCGUAGUUCAUGAAUAUCGUAAAACUAUGUCACUAAAAUUUUUCUUUUCUUUUUAAAAAUAAAUUUUUUUUCUUUGAAAAAUGAUUCACUAAAUAUGAGGAUAAUUUAAUCUCUUGCAUUUUAAAGUUGCUUGAAGCUGGUCAACAAACAAAUAGCCUUCCAAAUAAAUUUCAAAGAGCACGUAGGAUGCACAUGUUGGUCUUUAUAAAGUCGGUCACCUGUCCUAGACGGACCCGGCCCCUGUGCCAAAUCCCGCUAAAUUAAAUGCAUACGAUACAAAUAAAGCGACACCUAAUAGGGAUAACCAGAUUCUAAGUUUUCAGUUCUUCUAAGUUUCAGCCUAAUAGGGAUAGGUGUCUAGACUGGCUUACCCGAGUGAACACUCGAGCCAGGGAGGGACAACUUGGUCGGUAGCAGGGCAACACCGCCUUCGUUGCCGAUCCGAACCCCUCUUAAUAUGUGUGACUAUAAUCCUUCACCAGGUGCCUUGGCACUACGGCUAUCUCAAAAAUAAAGUAGGAUGCAUACGUUGUAUUCCUUCUAUCCUAUUUCAGAGACUCAGAGGGGGUGCGCACGAGAAGACUGUAUGUAAUACAAUUCAAUCAAUAUCAAAGCUGUAAAUAAGCGACAAGUAGCACAUAAGGCCAAUAAACACAAUAUCAACAAUAAUUAAAGCAAGUAUAAGUCAAUAUAAAAAGCUCAAAUUCUUAUUAGUCCCCAGCAAAGUUGCCAGAGAUGUCACCCCCCUUUUUCGCUCGGAGGAUCGAGUCGAAGAGUUUUUCCAAUUAAAGUGACGAUUUUGAAUAGGGAUUAUUUUAUUUAUAGAGUCUCCACUUGAAAUUGCGUUAUGGUGUUCCAAGUCACCUUUUUGAAUCCCUAAUCAAAAGAAAAUUACUCUUUAUUAUGGUCUGCGAAAACAGAAGACUGGGUAAGGAAUUCUAUUGACCGAGAGGAAGGUGUGAGGCACCCCUCGAAUCCCGUGGUUCUAGAACGGUCGCUUUUAUUGACUAUUACUUGACUUAAACUAUUUUGGAUAAACUAUGUUUGCAGGCCUGAUUCGCUCAUUUUUAAUUAUACCGAAAAUGUUUGUCCAUACCUCUUGUUUUAAGUUAGUGAAAAUUAAAUUUAGGGAGGAUCUUUGUUGAGGUUCAACGUCGUAUCCUCGAAUUAUUUUUAAACAUCUCAGAAAGAUGCGUAUGCCGCAUUCUUAAUAGAGACAUAUGUUAAACGUGUCUAAAGCUUAUCUAGUGUUAAAAGAUAUGAAUUCGUCUUUUGAAGAUGCGAGACAAUUUUCUUAUUCAUUCUUACUCUCUUCACUCUUUUUUCAAAUUUACUACAAGUUACAGCAAGUUUUGGAUUAACCCACAACUCGCCUCGCAUCCUUACAAUUGGUUUUUCCUCUCUUCUCUUUCUCUUUUUUUUACGCGAUGAAGUUUAUAAUAAAUCUGCAGUUUCAUCAGUCUUAUCUUCACACUAUUUGACAGUAAAUAUUAGUUAAAGCCAAAUUUCUUUCUAAUAUAUAUUCACACUAUGUGUUACUUGACAAACAUGUAAAAAGUAAUUGUAAGAUUAAAACCAAAAUUCCGUAAAAGCAAAAGAAAAUACUACAAAACAAAAAAUACUAAAGUCAAAAACGAAAAAGAAGUUUUUUAAUUGAGGAAGAUUUGUAGCUAUUUUUUUUUUUAAUUAAUCUAAAAUCAAAAAGUCAAUAGUUAACUUUGACUUAAACUCUAAGAUGAUAUAUUAGCCUUAUUCUGUUUUUUAACUUCCUAGUUCUAAUAAAACACCAUUAUCAGUACAUUAACUCAAAUUAACCGUGGCUUAAAUACACAAAAUAAUAUAUAUAAAAAUAAAUUAAAUUAACAGUAUUCACAAAUGAUCUAAUUAGGAUAUUUUUCAGCCUUACUUUUUGUCAACAAUCAUUUUAACUAACUCUCAAAUUUCGAAACAAAUAAAUAAGCUUGAAAAGGUAAGACACAGAACUUACAAUACUAUCAUGUAAGUAAUUAAUUCUACUUACUACAUGAUACAUGAUAAUGCUUAGAUAGUUUUAUUCAUAUUUUAGUUCACAAAUAAUAAUAAUAAUAAUAAUAAUAAUAAUAAUAAUAAUAAUAAUAAUAAUAAUAAUAAUAAUAAUAAUAAUGAAGAAAAUAAUAAUAAUAAUAAUAAUAAUAAUAAUAAUAAUAAUAAUAAUAAUGAAGAAGAAGAAUCGAAUAGGAGCCUACGCAAUAGUCAAUGAAAACUUAGAUUAAGAACGUAAUAUUCAAACUUUAUACCACAACCUUUAAAAAUGCUAGUUUUCUGCAUAUAUAAUUAUUUUUAAAACUCUAUUUUUUUUUUAUAUUACUGUUUUCUACUAUUUCACCUUCUGUUUCUAAGCCUUUCACUUCUUUAGCCCUUUUUUUUUAAUCUUCUUUCUCUUUGUUUUUAUUAUGUAAAUCUAUGUCUGCAUGAUUUCCAUUAGCGUAUGCAUGUGCCUUUUUUUAUAACUCUUGAACCACUAUUUUUAAUUAUACAAUGAAACUUUCAUAAUCCACUAAAAACAAAAUUAAAAAUGUCAAAAUGAUAAGUUGAUAUAUUUUUUUUUAAAAGGAAACGAUGCAUUUUAUUUUAUCCAAAAAAAAAAAAAAAAAACACUGUAAUGUUUAUAAUUAACAAAACCAACCACAAAACAUAGUAAGCAAACAAAUCACAACAUAGCAAUUGAAAAUCACUUACAAACUACUUAUGAUUAUAUUUUUUAAAUUAACUUUGAUCAUGAUUUUGGUUCACAAUACAACUUAUAAAAUAAAUAGUACUAGAUCGAACAAGAACCUGUAUGAUAAGAUAACUAAAGUAGAAACAAGGAUGCCUUCACCGAAAAACUCAACGGAGAUCUGAAACUCGAUUUGCCACUCUUGCUUUUCUUUGUUUUCUUUUUCUGGUUUUUACUCUAUUUUCUCUCUGAUUUUUCUAUUUGUUUCUUUCUGAUCAAUGUACGUAGUUUUUUUUUUUUUUGUUUUCUUAUGCCGUAUCUGAUGAUCUAGUCUCUGUUAUCUGAUCAAGGUGUGAUGCAGUAUGUGUACAAUAGUGUAAGUGUGAUAGGAAGAGUCCAUAAAUAGGGGGAUGUCUUAGGGGGGACAGUUGGGUAGAGAUUAGAUAAGGGGAGAUUUAAAAUUUAAAUAUUUUUCUUUUUCUUUCUUACAUUUUUUUUCUCUUUUUUUUUCUAGAAGAUAGUAAUAAUACAAAUAUAAACAAUAAAAAAGAAAAUAUUUUUUUAAAAUUUUUGUAUUAUUUUUAAAAAAUUAGAAUAAAAUAAACAUAAAACAUCUAAAAAUUAACUUUAUUUUUUAACUACAAAUUUAUUGUAAUAAAAAUAAUAAUUUAAAUAAUAUUAGAUCAACUAUAAAAAUUUAAUAUCGAAAAAUAUAUAUAUUAAACUCGGGGAGGGUCAAAAUCAUGUGUCUACAUCUGGUAAAAUCUUUGAAAUUCGGGCUAAAAUUAAGAAUCGAAGUUGUUUUAAGGGUUAAAUUGAUGAAAAAUUAGUAAUUAUAAGAUAAAAAUAUUAUUCAAGUGAAAAGAAGUAAAAUUGCGGUUUAAAAUCAAGCCCUAAGAUUUUUGGUGUUUUGAAAAAUUAAUCAAGAAAUUACUAAGAAAAAGGUGAAUUCUUACCUUAAAUCCAUAAUAAAAAUAAGAAAUAGAUGUUAAUCUAGCUAUACAAGCUCCCACAAGUUUCACUUUUAAGCUCCCACACUAGGGUUUAACUCUCAAGAGACAAGAUGAAAAAUGAGCAAAAUAGGCCCAAAAACUGGUAUAAAUAGUGCAGAUUUUUCUGCACAGCUUUUGCAAAAAAACUGUUUUUUAGUCUAAUUCGAACUUUGAUGGGGGUGGCCAGUACUCGUUUGGAGUCCGAUACAUGCAAAUGAACUAUGCAAGCAUACUAAAUUUGACAUUUCAUAUCAGAUUUUUCAUAAAAACAUCGUUUUCACAAAGUUGACCCCCGAAAUUCGAAAUCAUAAUUUUCCAAUUCGAGGGUCGAAAUGAGAUUUAAAAGCCGUAAAAUCAUACCAAAUAUGCUAACACCCUAGAGCACUAUUUUGGAUCUACUAGCGAAGUCGGAUUUUUGAUCCGAGGUCGUUUCGAUCAAAUAUGGGUCCCACGCCUAUAUAUUCAAUUUUUCAACUUUCCAAUCAAUAGGUCGAAAUGAGCUCGGGUGCAUCGGUACCCGAAUCAAAGAUUUACCUAGCCUAAAAUCGAUAUUUCGGAGCUACUGAUGCAGUCCGUUCGGCCAUCCAUCUCAUGGAUCAAACGACAUCCCCAUAAGUCUAAAAUAAGGCUCUUGAAGCCAUCAAAAAUCACAAUAUCGCAUAAAUGGUAUCAAAAUGCAUAAAAAAUCAUGUCAAUCACUUCCACACCUCAGAAAUACCAUAAUGCAACUAUGGAGAGAGGUAAAUAGUCAAAUCACACAAAAUCAUAAAUUUCAAGUAUUUCAUCAAUAUUUUAGGUCAUUACAGCAGUACAUACUUUAUAUAAUUAAUAUAGAAAGAGCCUAAUUAUUGCAUCAUUUCAUAAAUAGGAUUUUUUUAUUUCACUUUUGUUAUUUAUAUAAAAACUAGAUAACUUGACCGUGCUUCGCUCAAUAAUAAAAUAUAUUAUUAGAUUAAUAAAAUAAUUUUUAAAAAUAUUGAACGUUUAAUAUUCUAAAAAGAUCUUGAUCUAAUUUAUUAUUAGUCCUUAAAUUUUAUGAUCUUUAUAUUUUUUAAAAAAUAAGAAUUAGUAAGAAAAGUUUCAUAUAUCAAGACGUUAAUACACAAUUUUUUUAACUUAAUACAAUUCAAAUAUAUGUAUUCAAGGAUUUAAUUUUUUUCUUGCUUUCAUUAAACGUUAAGCUUUUAUUCAUAUAAUUCUUCUUCAGUUCUAUAUCUUUUUUGACAUUUCAUCCUUUCAUAGUUCAUAUUUAGCUUUGUCUCUUUUAACUUUUCAUCUUCAUCUAAAUUAUUUUCUAUUGUUAAUUUUGUCUCUAUCCUCUGUUAUAGUAUUUGUUUAUAUUUUUUUAUUACUUUUUUAUUUUCCUUCCUCUGUAUAUCCUACCUUUAUUCUAAUAAACAUAAGCUUACAAAUCUUUAUUUUUUAAUUCUAACUUUUUGAUAUCUCUAAAAUUAUUGUUGUUUUAGUAUUUGCAUCAUUUUACAAAUAAAAAGACGCAUUUCAAAAGAGAGAGAGACAGAGAGAGAAGCAAAUCUAUAAUUUAUAUAAUAAUAAUAAUAAUAAUAAUAAUAAUAAUAAUAAUAAUAAUAUAUUAAAAGUGUGAAUACCCUUAAUUUGAAUUUUUUACCCUUCAUUAAAAUAGUCCGCUUUAGACAAAAUCGUCUUUUUCCCGUUUUCCGUACAAUAAAAAUUUUCAAAAUAAAUAUACUAAAAUUUUGCUACAAUUAAAUUCUUUCCAAAUAUAAAACACCCAUUUCUUUUUUUUUUUUUUGAGAAUGUAAAUCACCCAUUUCUUUCACCAAAGAAACCACUAUUUUUUUCCAUUUUUUAACACUAAAAUUUCAUUGUUGGUCUUUCCAACUUUUUUUUUUUCCAUUUUUUAACUUCUCCAAAUUUGGAUGUUUUGUGGUCUCCUAUUUAGUUUGUUUUUCAAAAUAAAUAUACUAAUAUUUUCCUACAAUUAAAUUAUUUUCAAAUAUAAAACACCCGUUUCUUUCCUUUUUUGGUGAAGCUCCUUAUAAAUAUUGUUUGAACUUUUUUUCUUCAUUAAAAGACUUUGCGAUAGACAAAAUUAUUUUUUCAUAUUUUUCCUCCAAUUAUUAUUUUAUUAAUUUUAUAAUUAAUUAUAAUCUUGAAAUUAAGGAGUGCUAAAUUAUGGUAAGAGGAAAAAUUAUGGAGAAUUAAUAUUGGUAGGUUUUCUUUUCUCUUGAAUACGUGAAAAAUAUGUCCCCUAUAAUAUAUGGUAAGACAAAAAAGUGAACAUUAUUUAGUAUAGAUAUCUUUUUUCCAAAAAUUAGUGUUACAUAGGUUUUAUGUGAGGAAAAAAGUCCUAAUUCUAUGUGUAUGUCAUAUUAUUUUGUUAUAGUUUACAAGUGGUAGAUGAGUGUCGGACAAUUUUGAGCAAAUUUUUGUGUGAAGGCUAGACUUAAUUAUAUUGUUUUGAUGUCUCUACCAUCGUAUUAUUUCUUUGAAGUUUACAAGUGGUAGAUAAAUGUCGAUCGAUUUUGAGAUUUUUUUUUGUAAAGGUUAGGUUUAAUUAAAUAAAUUCUCCAAAAAAUAUUGAAUUUAAUUAUUGUAUUUAUCUUUAUUAUUUAAACAAAUAUCCUAUUUAGUGUAACAUUUAAACUCAAUAAAGUGAGGUACACACGCGAGGUGCAUACACCUAAACUAGUAAUUAGAAAAAUCAAAAGAAAGUAUCUUACGUUUUGCAUAAUUUUUAUUGAUUUUUUAAGAAAAAUAUUUAAUAUUAUUCUUAGUUGUGUCUUUAGAACUCACGACAUGACAAUGGUAGAUUAUAAUUGUAGAUCUCAUAACAUAGACAAUGGUAGAUUAUAAUUGCUUCAUGAUCUCAACUGCAAUCAAGAAUUACAUGAAGAUAUUAUAGAUAUUCUUAUAAACAUAUACUAUUUUAAUUUAUUGAAAUGAAUAUGAUUAACCAAAUAUUUAUAUUAUUGCUAUCAAAUACUUUUUUGCUAUUAAAGUAAAAGAAAUAAGCAAAUCGUUAAAGAUAAUAUAAAUUGUUUUUUGCAUCGUAAAAAAUACAUAAAUAAUAAUGUAUUUCAUUAAUUAAUAAAUAUUUCUUUUAAGACAUCAAUAGUAUUUGUUUGAAGAUUGAUUAGUAAGUAGCACCAAUCAAAUUACAAUAGUUAUUGCUUAAAUAAAAAUAAAAUUUAGAACAAUCAAAAAAUCAUGAACAUUAAAAUUAUACAAGUUAUAUAUAGAGAACAUAUCCAUGCACUCUCACAUACAUACCUAUUUUUUACAUUAAUAAUAAGAAAAUAGACUAAAAAAAAAAUACAGAAUUAGUGUACAAUUUUUUAAGCUCUUGUUCGAUAGCCUCUCUGACAAACAAUCAAUCUCCAAAAGACUUCUUCAUAAACUUGACUUUGAUACUAUAAAUAAUAAUAUAAAGAACACUAUAGAUUCUCAUACCUUUUCUCUGGAGUCUCGACCAACUUCAUCCAGUAGCUAUUUGAUUCAUGAAGCACAAGCAGGGAUUUGAUUACAAGAAUGAAUGAUAUUAGAUUAAUUCUAUUUAUAUUGUAUGAUCACUUUAAAAUUAUAUUGUAUGAUCAUUUUAAAAGCACAAAGAACAGGUGGGGGAGUUAAUAAGAAACAAAAGGAUAAAUGUAGAUGAAUAAUGAAGUAUAAAUGAUUGCUUUAAUGAGAAGAUGAAGAGAAUGCACGGGACAUUAGCAAAGAAAUUAUAACUGCAAAACAUUUCUACAAUAAAUUGCUUACAAUUAAAAACUAACACUAUGAAGUUUAACAUUUCAAGACAAAUUUAAACAAUAUUUUUUUUAUAGAAUAUAUUCGUUUAUACCAUAAAAUGAUAGAAUACAUUAAUAAUAAUUGUCAUUUGUAGCCAUUAUUUAGAAUUUAUCAGUAAGCUUUCUUUAUUGUGGGAGUUACUUUUAUUAUUUAGUGUGAUGAUUCUUCAACGUAUUUGUACAAUUGUAAGAUGAAUGUGGUAUGUUAAAUUAUAAAACGUAAUUAACUCUAUAAAAUUUUUCAAAUGACCUUUACUUUCACAUUAGUACAAUAUGCUAUAUAAAAGUACAAUGAUAUUUGCAGUAAGAAUUUAAAUAUAAUGAAUUUUAAAAAAUCAAUAUCCAUAAGUAUUUGAUUUAUUGAAUUUGAGCAUCGCCCAUUGAGCAUCAGCCACGAGAUACUCACCCAAAUUUUAAUUUUCGUAUAUAGCUUUUGAGAUAGUAAUCCUAGUGUCGGGUAAAUAUCACAUAUAGUUAUACAACUAUCAUUUUUCUACUAAGGUCACUUAACUAUCAUUCCUAAUACAAUAUCACAAAACUUUUAAUACACUAUUAAAAUCACACAAUUUAAUUUACAAAUUAAUUGUUAAUCAUAACAUAUAGAAUUAUAGUAUGGACAAAUCAAGUGUUAAUCCUAAUAUAUAAAAAUAUAAUGGAUUAGUAAUUUAGUAUCAUAGUUUAAUUUUUGAAAUCAUAUUAUUAUCUCACUAAAAUAUAAAGCAACAAUAUUUGCAAUGCAUGAAAAUCAACUAUCUAAUAGCAAUAUUAGUUUCUUCAUAUUUAAUGUAUAACUUGUAAAUUUUUAUGUUAUUGCUAAAAUUCUCAUUGCACAUUUUGAUCAAGAUAAUUUUUUAUAAGUCUUUAAAAAUGUAUGACAUAUUAAAAGAUCAAACUUAAUUUUUUAAAGAGUACAGGUUAUAUUUUUUUAUAAAACAUAAAGUACAUGAAUACCGGCUCAUAAAUUUUUCACCAAACAUGUAAAAAAUAAAAUGAGUAUGCAACAUAACCUGUAUAUUUAGUUAACUUGAUAAAUCAAGAAAAAUCUAUUCUAUAAUAAUAUUCACAGUAAAUUGAGAUUUUAACAAUUAUCAUGACAAGAUAAGUUGUGGAAGAAAUCACAUGCAUAAUUCAUCUUCUCCAACAUGUUAUGACGGAAAUUAAUUAGCUUUUACAGAGUAUAGCCUUCUUAUAUAGUGGUAAGUUGUUAUGACAUUAGAACUUCUAGAUUAAUUGCAGUUGAUACAAUAUUCUUUUCCAUAUAUAUAUAUAUAUAUAUAUAUAUAUAUAUAUAUGUAUGUAUGUAUGUAUGUAUGUAUUUUUAUUAUUAAUAAAUAUUUAUUCCAAAUUUAUUUUAUUGAUUUGCACGUUUAAAUUUUUAUAUAAGAUGAUUUAAUCUUUUUAAUUAAUUUUUGUUCAUCAAAACGAAGUAUCUUUUUAAAAUUUGAUUAUUUUAAAAUUCAAAAUUAUUCUUACAGACAUAUAUAAGGUUAUAUAAUUGGUCAAUUAAAGAAUAACUUUGUAAAGAAAAAUCUUAUUUGAUUUCGAAUAUUAAUUAGGACUAUGUAAUUUAGUAGUAAUUUUUUAUAAACAUUAUGCAAUAUUUUCUGUGUAGUAAUAUUUAUUUUUAUAAAAAUUCAAUAUUUUUUUUUCAAUCAACCCUCCUCUUAAAUUCAAGACUAUCAUUUAUUUAUUUUCUAGUAUAUAAUGAUAGUGUAAUUAGUCACUGAUAGUUAUUCUUAAUUAUGAAAAUCUUUUCAUUGAAUAUUAAUGCAUAUGAUUUUAAAUAUAAAUUAUUAAAAUAUAUCGAAUGAAAAUUCUUUCAAUAAAUAUGAAUGCAUAUUUUUAAAAUGAAAAUUCUUGAAAUAAAUUUCUUCCAUUUUGUAGUCCAAAGUUACCAUUUGAGUGAUUACAUCUUUUUCAUAAUAUUUUUAAUUUUGGAAUAACUCUUUGAUUAUUAUAUUUUUUCCAUAUAAGUUGUUUGAUUCAUAAUUGGUUAUUCUUUUAAUUGAUAUUUCUUGAUACUUUCUUGAUUUAGUCAAUUAUAAUCAAAUCAUAAAUGUUCUUUUUAUAUAGUAUUGUUACUUAAAUUAAUUAUAUACACAUGAAAUCAUUUUCAUAAUAUUUUUAAUUUUGGAAGGACUCAUUUGUCAUAAUAAUCUUUUUCAUAUAAGUUACUUGAUUAUUAAUUAGUUAUUCUUUCAUUGAUAUUUUUGUAAUACUUUCUUAAUUUACUGAAUUGUAGUGAAAUCAUAAAUGUUUCUUAAAUAAUAUUAUUAUUUAAAUAAAUUGUGUAUAUUUUUUGAGGGAUAAAAUAUUUUUCAUAAUAUUUUUUUUAAUUUUGAAAUAACUUUUUGAUGAUUAUAAUCUUAUUCAUAUAAGUUACAUGAUUACUAUUUACUAAUUCAUUUUAUUGUUAUGGUAUUAGAACUUCUAGAUUAAUUGCAGUUGGUACAAUAUUAUUUUCCAUGUAUAUGUAAAUAAUUUUUAAUUGAUUAUUUAUUUUCUAUUUAUAUUUCUCAAUCAAUUUUUUCAUGCUUCCUUAAUUGACUUACAUUGAAUGAAAUCAUAAAUACUUUUUGUCAUAUAAAUAUUCAUUUUAUGAAACACUUCAAAUUCAUUUAUUCUAAUUUAUUAGUAACUCACAACUAUAUUUCAUCAUACAAAAAUUAUUAUAAAUUUUUAUUGAUAUUUUUAUUAUUAAGAAAUAUUUAUUCCUAAUUCAUUUUAUUGAUCUGCACGUUUAAAUUAUGAUAUAAGAUAAUUUAAUAUUUUUUAAUUAAUUUUUGUUCAUCAACACAAAGUAUCUUUUUCAAAUUGGAUUAUUGUAAAAUCCAAAAUUAUUCUUACAGACAUAUAUAAGGUUAUAUAAUUGGUCAAUUAAAGAAUAACUUUGUAAGGCAAAAUUUUAUUUGACUUCAAAUAUUAAUUAGGACUAUGUAAUUUUAGUAGUUAUUUUCAACAAACAUUAUGCAAUCUUUUCUGUGUAGUAAUAGUCAUUUUAAAAAAAAAUUUAAUAUUUAUUUAUUUUUCAAUCUACCUCCUUUAAAUUCAAGACUAUCAUUUAUUUAUUUCCUAAUAUAGAAUGAUAGUAUAAUUACUUAUUGAUAGUUAUUCUUAAUUAUGAAAAUCCUUUUAUUAAAUACGAAUGCAUAUUGUUUUAAAUAUAGAUUACUUAUAAUAUAUAGAAUGAAAAUUUUUCUAAUAAAUAUAAAUGCAUAUUUUUAAACUAAAAUUACUUGAAAUAAAUUUCUUCCAUUUUGCAGUCCAAAGUUACCAUUUGAGUGAUCACAUCUUUUUCAUAAUAUUUUUAAUUUUGGAAUCACUCUUUGAUUAUUGUAUUUUUUUUUUCAUAUAAGUUCUUUGAUUACUAAUUGGCUAUUCUCUUAAUUUAUAUUUCUUGAUACUUUCUUGAUUUAUUCAAUUGUAAUCAAAUCAUAAAUGUUCUUUUUUUAAAAAAAUAAUAUUGUUAUUUAAAUUAAUUAUAUACACAUUUUGAGUGAUGACAUCUUUUUCAUAAUAUUUUUAAUUUUGGAAGGACUCAUUUGUCAUAAUAAUAUUUUUCAUAUAAGUUACUUGAUUAUUAAUUAGUUAUUCUCUAAUUGAUUUUUCGUAAUACUUUCUUGAUUUACUAAAUUGUAGUGAACUCAUAAAUGUUUUUUAAAUAAUAUUCUUAUUUAAAUUAAUCGUGUAUAUUUUUUGAGGGAUAACAUCAUUUUCAUAAUAUAUAUUUUUUUAAUUUUGAAAUGACUUUUUGAUUAUUAUAAUCUUAUUCAUUUAAGUUACAUGAUUACUAUUUACUAAUUGUUUUUUUGUAAUAUUUUCUUGAUUUACUUAAUUGUAGUAAAAUCAUAAAUGUCUACUUUUUAUAAUAUUAUGUAACACCCCGAGUCUGUACCCCGGAUGCUACACGAUGCUUACGACCCCAAAAGACCACAAGCUAACCCAUGACUGAUAUCUACUAUGAGCACUAAAUAAUCACAUGGUAAUAAAACUAAUACUAAAAAAAUGCGAAAAUUAGGCUGAAGUUACCAUAAGAUUCAUAACUGAAACAAAUACUGAAUACUGAUAAAUAUAUACUGAAAACUAAAUAUCUGUCUGAAAUACUCUAGUCUGAAAGCCUCUAACUGUCUAAAUAUGGAGUUGAAGGGACAAGUCCCAAACUAACUUCGUCUAUUGAAUGUACCGAGCUACUGAAAUACUGAAAGAUAACAUCGUCCUCGAACUAUGAGGACUCACGACUAAAUUUGUUGCUGAUGUUUUCUAACCUUAUCAUGCUGUCUUAGAUUAUUUUGCUAAGACUGUAACUUUAGCUUUGGCUGGUGUGACAAGGAUAGCUUGAAAGGGUGCACUUUAUUCGGGUCCUAAGAGGAUUAUAUCUUAUGUUCAAGCUCGUAAAUUGGUUGAGAGGGGAUGUUUAUCUUACUUGACCAUAUUCGUGACACCAGUGUUGUUUUGCCUCCUUCCUUGGAUUCUAUUCGUGUUGUCCGUGAGUUUAUGGAGGUGUUCCCUACGGACUUGCCUAGUAUGCCUUUAGAUCGAGAUAUUGAUUUUAUUAUUGAUGUUGAGUCGGUCACCAAGUCCAUUUCUAUUCCUUCUUAUAGGAUAGCCCCAACAGAGUUAAAGGAAUUGAAGAAUCAGUUGCAGGAGUUGUUGGAUAAGAGAUUUAUUUGACCUAGUAUUUCACCUUAGGGUAUGCCUUGUCUUGUUUGUGAAAAAAAAUGAUGGGUCUAUGCGGAUGUGAAUUGAUUAUCGAUAGUUGAAUAAGGUGACGGUUAAGAAUAAGUAUCCUCUUUCUCACAUCAAUGAUUUGUUUGAUCAUCUUCAGGGUGCUAUGGUAUUUUUGAAUAUUGAUUUGCGGUCCAGUUAUCACCAUUGUGAGAUCUUCUCAGAUCAUCGUAGCCUUCAGUACAUCUUUACCCCCAUGAGAUCUUAAUGUAAGGCAGCACCAUUGGCUUGAGUUUCUUAAGGAUUAUGACUUGGCUAUUCUCUAUCAUUCAAGUAAGGCUAAUGUGGUUGUGGAUGUCUUGAUCUAGAAGUCAACUAGCACGGGUAGCUUGGUGCAUCUUUUGACCCAAGAGAGGCUUUUGGCCUUAGAGAUUCAGUUUUUAGUUAACUAGAUAGUUAGGCUUGAUAUUUCAACACCGAGGCGUGUUUUGGCAUUUGUGGAUGCUAGAUCUUCUUUGAUGGAGCAGAUUUGAGCUCAUCAGUUUGAUGAUGUUGGUUUGAGGUCGAUUCGAGAUAAGGUAUUGAGUGGGGAGGCUAAGGAAGCCUCACUUGAUUCAGAUGGAGUUUUACGGAUUAGAGGUUGAGUUUGUGUGCCAAGAGUGGUGAUUGGAUUAGGUUGAUCUUAGAGGAGGCCCAUUGUUCCAUAUAUUCUAUCCAUCCAGGUGUGAUAUGGCAGAUUUUAUGAAUCAUUACGUAUGUUGUCAGCAGGUAACGGUCGAGCAUAUGAGGCUUGGUGGGUUGCUUCAGAGGUUACCCAUUUUCGAGUGGAAGUGGGAACGGAUCACCAUAGACUUUAUGACUGGUUUGCCUCGUACAUCUCAUGUCGAAUAGUUCUGACAGUGUUUGGGUCAUUGUGGAUUGAUUGAUAAAGUUAGCUCAUUUUAUUACAAUUCAGAUCUUAUUCAGUACCGAGAGUUGGCCCGUAUCUACAUACAUUCGUGAGAUUGUGCGUCUUCAUGGUAUGCCAGUGUCCAUUAUUUCAGAUUGAGGUCCUGUGUUCACAUCUCACUUUUGGAAGGUUUUUCAGGAUGAGUUGGGUACUUGGGAUGAUCUUAGCACAGAGUUUCACGCCCAGAUUAAUGGCCAGAUAUAACGGACUAUCCAGGUUUCGGAGGAUAUAUUUCGUGCAUGCUUGAUGGAUUUUGGUGGCCAGUAGGAGCAGCAUUUGGCUUUAGCAGAGUUUGUAUAUAGUAAUAGCUACCAUCCCAGUAUUAAUAUAGCUCCUUUUGAGGCAUUGUAUAGUAGGCGUUGUCGCUCCCCGAUAGGUUGGUUUGAUGUUUUAGAGGUAAGACCUCAAGGUAUGGACUUCCUUUGUGAGUCUUUAGAUAGAGUCUAGGUCAUUAAGGAUAGACUUCGAGCAGCUCAGAGUAGGCAGAAGUGCUAUGCUGAUCAUAGACUUCAUGCCUUGAGAUGUGGUGUUGGUAAUCGUAUUUUCCUUCGAAUUUCACCCAUGAAGCGUCUGAUGAGAUGUGGGAAGAAGGGCAAGCUUAGCCCCAGGUAUAUUGGUCUAUUUGAGAUUUUUUGGACCACUUGUGAUGUGGCUUAUAAGUUGGCUUUGGUCCCUAAUGUAUCAACUGUUCAUCCAAUUUUUCAUGUUUCUAUGCUUCGUCGUUAUAUUCCAGAUGAGUCUCAUGUCAUUCUUUAGGAGUCGGUUCAGUAAGAUGAGUGGGUAUCCUUUGUUGAGGAGCCAGUUUCCAUUUUGGUUAGGGAUGUUAGGCGUUUGUACUCUAGAGUUAUUCUUGUGGUUAAGGUUUAGUGGCGACAUCGAUCUGUAGAUAAAGCUACUUGGGAGGUGGAGUCUGAUAUGCAUAGUUUUUAUCCCCCAGCUCUUUGUUGAUUCUGGUAUUUCUUUUGCGUUAGUUUGAGGACGAACUGUAUUUUUAGUAGUGGAUGAUGUAACGAUCUAAACAUUUGAUAAAAUAUGUGAAAUUUAUGAUUUUGUGUGAUUUGACUGCCUCCCUGCAGUUGUAUUAUAAUAUUUCUGAGGUGUGGGAGUGAUUGACAUGAUUUUCGAUUCAUUUUGGUAUCAUUUAUGCAAUAUUGUGGUUUUUGAUGGCUUCGAGAGCCUUAUUUUGGACAUAUGUGGAUAUCUUAUGAUUCGUGCAACGGAUAGACGAAUAGAUUGCACCAGCAGCUCUAAAAAAUUGAUUUUAGGCUAGGUAGACCUUUGGUUUGGGUCCCGGUGCAACCAAGCUCAUUUCGACCUAUUGGUCGGAAAGUUGGAAAAUUAAAACUAUAGGUGUGGAUCCCACAUUUGAUCUAAACGACCUCGACUGAAAAAUUUGACUUUGUUAGCAGAUUUGAAAAGUAAGAUUGCAGGUUCAAGUAUAGCAAACCGAUUUUGACUUUCCAGGUAGGUUAUGGCUUAACUCUUUCAGAUUGCGAUGAGUAGUAAAUGAUGAUACAAAAUGCAUGUUAAGGGUAGAAACUAAUUUUCGCGCCCCAUUUUCCUCGCGGAAGGCGGGAUUUGACUCGACAAAUCUCUUGGGAUUGCGUCUGAAACGAAGGGUGUGAAGAGUCACCACCUAACGUAUUAAGGUGCAUUAGGGCACUGGUCUAGGCUACUAUGAACAUAUUUUGUCGUUUUGUCUUAGUUCACCAGAGUUCGGGUAAGGGUUCAAAUUACCUCAAAAGGAAGGUGUUAGGCACCUUUCAAGGUCCACAAAGGUGGUUCCCAGCCAAAUUCAUACUUUACAUGGGGAUUCUAUGUGAUCAAAUAAAGGUCGCUUCUUUUAUUAUUAAUUUACUAUUUAGCUAAGCGAUAAUAUAAUUAAUAAGCAAACACAUGUCAUUUGUUAAUGCUAAUUGUCGAUUAUCUAAGUGAUAAAAUAAAUAUGAAACAUAGAAAUAAGAUAAGCGAGGAGAAAGAAACGACAUAAUUUAUAAUAAAAAGGGGACUGCUUUAUAAUAAACUAGCUACCCUAGAUAAAUAUGUAAAAUAAAUAAAAAGACUAAAAGAAAUCGUCCGAGUCAAACAAAGAGAUGUUUUGGCUUUAUUAGGAUCAGAAACCCAACUUGUUAAUCAUCAUCCGACCCAAAGGCCGAACUCUUAGACAAGUAAUAAUGUCAUUAGCCUCACCGUUAAUAUUUGUUGGGAUCAUCAUUUCCGAAAAGGGCUACCCGUCCCACCCCGUCAAGGCUGGAUGUCAAGUCUAAGGGCGUUCUAUGACAAGGACAAAACUAACAUUUUUAGUAAUACUUAUCGUCCCAACUAUCGUCCAAGAGGUAUUGAACUUUAUUAUUUUGGAUUUGUGUUCUAAACUAAAAGAAAGCUAUGUUGCCUAGGACUCGAAACGCAAAUAUAUUGGACAACAAGUAGCACGUAAUAAUCCCAAGUUAGCCUCUUGAUUAAUUAACGUUUAUUAACGUGAUAGCAUGCGAAGACAGACAAUUAUAUAAUACGGCAUUAACCUAUAGGCAUGAUGUCUAAAUGUUCAAUCAAGUGGUGAUAAAGGACAACUAUGAUUCGUGCAUGCAACAAUGUAAUGCGUGUUCAUGAAGGUGUCACAAGUGUGGUAAAUGUGUCGAGAAAUAUUUUGUGAAUUGAGUGUUGCAAACUAAUGAGAAUAGAAGAAAUCAACAAGAAUAUUAAAAAGCACAAACAUGUUAAGGAUGCCAUAAUAUACUUACUCUAGUAUUUAAACGUACCGAAAAGUGCUUAAAAGUAUGUAUUUUUAUAUAACAACAAUUGUAUUAUUGUAGGAAUUUCAUAGUGACAUGUUGAGAGUGUAUCAAUCAUACUAAAGAUGUCUUAAAGCUAACAUUUUGACAUUCUGAUAUAUUUAAACAUGAUAGAGAUAUGCCAACAUACAGAAACUUUAACAUGCUAGAAGUAGUUAUGACAUGCUGAAAUUUAUUAGAUGCGCAAAAUUUUAAUGUUCUAAUGUUAAUAACAUGCUAAAUUUGUAUAGAUACACAACAUGAUUUAAAUGUGAUGAAAUUUAUUUAAACAUGCUGAGAUUUGUCUUAAUGUGCUAAAAUAUCAUAUUAACAUUCUGAAAAUUGCAAUAGCCCAAAAUAAUGAUAUGCGAAAAAGUGAAUGUAUUAACCUAUUUGAACUUAAUUUAACAUGCUUAAAAUAAGUUAACAUGCUAAGCGAUAAUUACCUCAACAUGUCAAUAUGUUUAAGAUUCACUAUACCACAUACCAGAAGAUACAUUGAUAUGUUUAUGUCGAAUUAAUGUGCCCGUUAUGCUAUAAUACAUAAUGUCAGGUUAAUAUGCUUAUAUUCGUGUUAACGUGAUAGGUAUAUUAAAUCGUUCACACCUAAUACUAAAAUUAUGUUAAUAUAUCGGGAUUGACUCAAAUUCGUUAGCAAACAAAUUAAGCAUUGCAUAUGUUAAUGAGUCCUAGAUGAUCCACAUAGCACGUAUUGCAUAUAAUCCUAGUUUGUCCCUACUUAUACCGUUCACAGAGCACAUAAAUUUCCGUCCCCCAAAUCAGUCCCCAGAAUUAUAUUAUUACAAUGAUAGGAAUGUUUUACAAUAAUAUUACAGACCAAAUAGUAAUAAAGGAAAAACAACUAGUUAAAAAAUACAUAGUUUAAAUAUUCCGGUGAUUCUUUGGAACUUGUAAGUGUCUAUUUACCCUGCGAAACAUAUUAUAAUAGCAAGUAGACAGGAACACAUAGUAGCAAACAUCAAAAUAUUCCUAAAGACAUACUUUCUAAAGGUUUUCAGAACACGAUGCAAUUAACACACAUAGAGAAUGAAAAAUUACAUCGUUCAAGAACUCACCAGUGAAUAGCAGUACAGAGAGAAUAAGAACAACAGGAGCCAAAAGUCAACCACAUGUAAUAGUUGAAGUAUGCAAGAUAUUAACAGCAGCCUCCAAAGAGAAACACUUUAAAAUAUUUAAUUACCUUAGAGAGUAGUAGUAGUAAUUGUAAUGUCAAAGCUUAAGAGUUUAAGAGCUCAAGAGCCUAUGAACUUGUGAAAUUGAGAAGUGAGAGCUUGUGAACUGGUGAACUUAUCCCUUAAUGAAAAAAAAGGAAUGAGUUUAUAUAGUAAAAGGGAUUAGAGGGUAAUAGGAGAAAAAUAUUUUUCACUCAAUCAGAAUCAAUUAAGGAGAGGAAAAUAAGCUGAGAAUCAAUCCAUAAUAUUAUUUUCCUUAGUUAAGUAAGGAGAAUCAAUUGUAAGCAGGUUUACCAUAAAUAGACGUGAGAUGAGUACAAAGAAGUACUGAUUUAGGAGGGAAUAAGUACUAACGGUAGAAAACAUAUCAAUGUUGGUAAUUACCAUAAAUCAGUCCAGUUUUUUAAAAAACCUUUCCAUACCACACAAGAAUAAAAGAUUAGAAAAAUCACAGACAUACCCAGUUUACCUAAAAUAAGCAAGGACAAGAGUUAACACACAUUUGAUCCCAAUCAUAUAUCAGUAAAAAAAUCCCACUUGAUUGUAAAUAAACUGGAUCCUACUAUUAUCAGCUGUUGUAAUACUUUUAGCUCACCAAAUAAAGAUAGCUGCAAAUUCAAAUUUUAAACAGAUAACCCAAGCACAUUUUAGACCACACAGUAACAACUUCUACCCGUAAGGGAAGGAUAUCAGAUUUAGAGGUAUCAUACUUCAAAUUAUGAAAUUAAAAUAAUGAAACUUGGGGCUUUGAAUAGGUAUGUCAGUCUGGAGAUGAACAUAAGCCCAAAAAUUAACAAAUAAGAACAAAAUUCAGAGUCACAAUAUCUUAAUUUAUAAAGUUGCAGGGCUGCAAUUUGUAAUCAUAGCAAACAAUCAUGCAUGUUAACCAAAGCAAACAACCAUGUAAUUAAGAGUUUGAGAAAUCAAACCAGAUAGAAAUAGUCGAUGUUUAUCGAAAGCCUCGCUGGUUAUGACAACUAGAUAGUGACAAUGGGGUCUUUCCUCGACUAGGGAGGGAAGAGUGAAGCAGAGGCGGCAGUGAGAAGACGGAUUGAUUGGACGGUGGGGAGGUCCGUUGCUGUUGGUGCUGCUUUGGGCAACUGGCGUGGCGCCAUGGUUGCUGGUGAUUGAGGAAAGGCGACGCUGGGGUUGACUCAUUGCUUUUGGUGGCAGCGUGGCUGCUAGGAGUACGGAGAUGAUGGCGUUGUUGUGGCCAUCGUUGAUGGAGGUGCCAUGGAUGGUGCGGCGGUAGUACGUCGAUCGGAGGAUGAAGGCGGCUCGUGGUAGCUGUUGUUGCUGCUUCGCGGUGGCACUUAGUUCGCUAGAGGAGAGAGAUGACAUGGAGAAGGAGAAGGAGAGAGGGGCGGCGCCGGCGUUGAUAUGGCCAACAGCUAUGGUUGCCGAUAGAGAGGGGAUUAGAGAAAGAGAAGAGAAGUAAAGAGAGAAAAAGGAGAGAGGGGUGUUGGAGGCAGAUGAAAAAAUGUUUUUGGAAAAUUAGGGUUUUGGGUUAUUAAAAAGGAAAGAAAAGUUUGAGGCAUCUCAGUCUUUUGAUUAAUUUUGAUCAACGCUUGAGAUUAAAAUAGGAUUAAUAACUUGAUUUGGUUAAAAAUGAAACACUUGUGGCUAUAUUUGACAUGAAAUAGCCAAAAUUGACUAGAUUUGUAAAGAUUAGGCUAUAAGAUGAAUAAAUUGGAUAAAUUGGUUUUUAAAAUUAGGUUGUUAUUUCAAUUAAAGUAGAGAUAGUAAAUAAGAAUAAUAAUAAUUGAAUAAAUAAUAAUAAUAAUAAUAAUAAUAAAAUAAUAAUAAAUAAUUAUAAUAAUCACAAAUAAUAAAUAAUAAUAUAUAAUAACAAUGUCAAUAAAUAAUAAUAAAUAAAUAAAUAAAUAAUAAUUAUAUCAAGAAAUAGUAUUAAAUAAUGGAAAACUAUAUAAUGUAUUUACAAAAAUAUGAGUGUGCACGAUUACGUGAAAAAAAUAAACUUAAUUAAUAAAAAUUGCGUAAAAUGUCAUAAUUGAUUUUAAAAUGAUGCUAAAAGAUAAUAAAAUAAUUUAUGUAUUUUUCUAAAUUAUGAAUGAGACACGUUAGUAUGUAUUAAAAAUGAAAAUAAUAUGUAAAAAAUAUUAAUAAUUAAGGUUAAAUAAUUUUAAUAAAUAACGGCAUAAAAGUGAUAUCGGGAGGUCAAAAUUGGGUGUCAACUGCUGCCCCUUCUUUGUUUGAGAAUGAUGAAAGAAUUGUCAAGCAAUGAAAGUUGACGUAGUGGCCAAUUUUGUCCGACCGAGAUGAUAGUUCGCUAGAAAGAAAGCACGAAAAGUGUUAAAAAUAGUGUGGCCGAGACUUUGGCUUUAAGUCACCUACAUAUCUCUGUUUUUACGAGAAUCGGGACAUUUGAAGUUCUAGAUUUAGGAAUGAACAAUAUUCCUAAAAAAUAUUAAUGACAAAGGUUGGGGCAUUGAUAAUGAUAUCAUGGAUCGGUGAGGCAGUAAUGAAUAGGAUUUGAAGUAAUUUGAAAACUUUAAGGUAGGUGAGGUGAUGAAUGAGUUCAUAUGGUGGAUGAAUAGAUGGAGUAAUAUUCUGAAAACAGAAACGAAUAUUGUCUCUGUCUGUUAUUUCUUCUCCGUUACCUACAUAUUUCACGGUAUACUUGAUAACCAAGGUUAAGUCAUGUAAAUGAUAAGCAUUUUAAAACAUAAAGUGAGUGUAAGAAGUAAAGAAAGCAUAUCUGUUGUACUAUUAGAUGACAUUGGAUCAUGUCGUUGGAUCAGCUGUUUGGCCUCUCAAUAUGAUGCCGGAUCGGCUGUUGAACCUUUCAAUGUUGAAUCAGCUAUUUGGUUUCUCGAUAUGACGUAGGAUCAGCUGUUGAACCUCUCGAUGUUGGAUCAGCUGUUUGGCUUCUCAUCGUGGGAUCAACUUUUGGGGCUUCUCCGUAUAUUAUGAAAUCGUGGUAUCAACAUUUGAGUUUCUCCAUUGUGGGAUAAGCAUUGGGAUUUUCCAUCAUCAGAUCGGCAUUUGAGCUUCUUCAUCAUCUGUUCAGCAUUUGGGCUUCUCCAUCGUCGGAUCAGCAUUGGAGCUUCUCCAUCGUCGGAUCAGCAUUUGGGCUUCUCCAUUGUCGGAUCAACAUUAGAGCUUCUCCAUUGUCGGAUCAACAUUGGGGCUUCUCCAUUAUCGGAUCAGCAUUGGAACUUCUCCAUUAUCGGUUCAGCAUUUGGACUUCCCCAUCGUCGGAUCAGUAUUGGAGCUCCUCCAUCGUCGGAUCAGCACUUGGGCUUCUCCAUCGUUGGACCAGCAUUGGAGCUUCUCCAUUGUCGGAUCAGCAUUUGGGCUUCUCCAUCAUUAGAUUAGUAUUGAGCUUUUCUAUCGUCGGAUCGGUAUUUGAGCAUCUCCAUUGUCGGAUCAGCAUUAGGCUUCUCUAUUGUUGGAUCAGUAUUUUAGCUUCUCUAUCAUGAAAUCGUGGCCCGUACCUGCCACUUGUAUCUCGACUCGACAGAAAUAAUUAGUGAAUAUAUGUUUGUGCAUAGAGGAUUGAAUAUUAUAGAAAACAAACAUAACGGUAAAGAUAAUGAAAGAUAGAAAAACGUAUUUGUCUUGUUGUCGGAUCAACUGUGCGGCUUCUCAUCAUGAUGUUGGAUUGUCUAUCGUGUUCCUUCAUGAUGAAGUAAUUUCUGUCACCUUAUAUCGUUGGGUCUCUUGUGAUGGAGUGAUUGUUGUCAUCUGUACCUGUUACUUGUUCCUGUACUCAAAGAAAAGUCAUCAGUCAAAAAAAUAUGAAUUUGUACCAUGCUCGAGUCGACUCCUUGGUCGUUGUUUUCUACUCCAUGAACCGUUGGGAUUUGUACUCUAUCGUGAUGAAAUUUUUGAGAAAUUCUCAAAAAAAAUUUCCCCAGUAUAGAAUGUAAAGCACCUUUGGCACGUCAUUUGUGAAUGAAUAUAUUGUUUACUUGUGAAAUUUUUGAGGAAUUCUCAAAAAUUUCUGCCCCAGUUUAGAAUGAAAGGCACCUUUUGCACGUCAUUGUGAAUUGAUAUAUUGUUUAAGUGUAAAAUUUUUGAGGUUUUCUUGAAACCUCAAAAAUUCUGCCCUAGUUGGAGCCGUAUAUUCCUGCACAACUCAAAGAAAAUAUUAGUUCAAGAGAAAUGGUUGUCCUACAUUUGAAUGCUCAAGAGUUGGGUUCAUUAGCUUGACAAUUUGGAUGUGUAAAAAUUUGAAAGAGAGGGGAAAGCAAAUGUUUUAUUAGAUAAAGACCAAACCCAAAGUGGGCUGCCUACGUAUCCAAAUAGAAGUCAGGUCAAAUGUAGUUCGUGAGGGUAAAGCGAGGAUAAGGAGGCGCAACGUUUAUCUUGAGCGAGGAGAAGGAGGGUUAGAGAAUUUUUGAAUGUUGAGCAUAUUUGUCAUAUUGUAGAUUUUCAAUCGAGUCGAUGUUCAAACGCUAGACAACCUUUAAAUAAUAAAUAGUAAACUAAAAUAAAUAUCAGCGUACUCAAUGCGAAAAGAGAUAGUAUGUCAAUAUGAGUCAUUUUGUCCAGGAGGACUUUAGGAUGAAUGUGGGCUAGAACUUAAGCUUUAAAAAUAAAUUGAUAUCACAAGAUAGAAGAUAGAUUCUAAUAGAUUCUAACAAAGACUUAGAUACCAAAUUCGUACUUGAAGCUGAUUGAGUAAAUAAGUGAAUAAUGAUAAGAUAUUGCAGAGAUGUGCAUAAAAAUGUUUAAAGAAAUUGUUUUGAACAAAUGGGAGAAUUGAAGAUUGACAAAGUUUUGAGCACUUUGAAGUAUUUACUUUGAAAUGUCUGAGAGUUUAAAAUAUUUUGAAAAGUCAUUUGAAUAAAAAACUUCUAAGUUGUACCCUUAUGACAUUAUGGAAAGGUAAAAGAUAUGGAGAAUAUGAUUUGAUAGAAGAAUUGUUGGAAUGAUAACGAUUGUUUCAUAUUUUCAAAUAUUAGGACGUUUUGUAAAAGAAAGGGAAAAGGAAGACCGCAUCCUUACAAAGGAUUGCCUACGUAUCUUGUUGGAACAAGAAUCAGGUCAGACGUAGUUCAAAAAUUUAAGAGUUGUGGAAGCUGAAUAGCGGGUGGGGAUGAAUUGGAGGAUAUUGAAUAGGCCCUAAGAGUGUAUUUUAGGGUCCUAACAUAACAAGAAUUUUACGAGUAACGAGCUCUAAAGUGAGGAACACUAAAUGUAAGGAGUGACUAAGGCAAGAACGAAACAACAAGAUAGGCAAGAUGUCAAUCCAUACAUAAAAAUGCAACACAUAGCAAAUAAGUGUGAGUCCUCUUAAGGUCGUGAACCUCUUUGGACUUUGAAUGAGACUAACACUCAACAUGUUAAGGAAACCAAGGCACCCUACGUUGAAUGAUAUGCAUAUUCCUUAGUAAAAGGAAUAUGUAGCCAAAACCUAAAGUACAAAAGUGGGUUUAUGACAUAGUUACCUCAAGUGGUCAACUCGAGAGUGGGAAAGCUUGUGGCUAUCAACACACCGCUGAUCGACUGAUCCACAAGACAUUUCUCGAAGGGUCUUUUAGGAAUGAACGUCCGUGUAUUCACGUAACCAUUCAUAAGAGAAAACAAAAGAGGUUCCAAGAGGAGUAAAGUAUGAGCACUAUGCCAGUUAUAUAAAGCAAUAAUAGGCAGCACAUAGGAACACAUAAUAGCAUGCUUUAGCAAAAAUAAAAAUAUAUAAUCAAUAAAGGAAAAAGUAGGAUGGAGGAACGUAAAUGACACAUAACAAAGGAAAGGAGAAGGGAUUAUCAUGCAUAAAUUGAUCAUCAAUAAAAGCAAAAGUAGUCAUGAAGAAACAUGAAUAACACAUAAACAUAGAGAAGGAGAAGAGACAAAUAAAUAAUGAUGUGAAUAAACAUUAAACAUAUAUAGAAUGGCCUAUGUCAAAAGCAAGCAUAAAAAUAAAUAAAGAGAAUCCCACAUAAGCACAAGUUCGUAAUGUUCAGAACCUAAUAAUCCCCAGCAGAGUCGCCAUUCUGUCGCACCCCAUUUUUCUCGCGGAAGGCGGGAUUCGACUCGACAAAAUCUCUUGGGAUUGUAUCUGAAAGGAAGGGCGUGAAGAGUCGCCACCUAACAUAUUAAGGUGCAUUAUAGCACUGGUCUCGACUACUAUGAACAUAUUUUUUCAUUUUGUCAUAGAUCACCAGAGUUUGAGUAAGGGUUCAAAUUACUUCAAAAGGAAGGUGUUAGGCACCUUUCGAGGUCCACAAUGGUGGUUCCUGGCCGAAUUCAUACUUUACAUAGGGAUUCUAUAUGAUCAAAUAAAGGUCUCUUCUUUUAUUAUUAAUUUACUAUUUAGCUAAGCGAUAAGAUAAUAAAUAAGCAAACACAUGUCAUUUGUUAAUGCUAAUUGUUGAUUAUCUAGGUGAUAAAAUAAAUAAAAACAUAGAAAUAAGAUAAGCGAGGAGAAAGAAGCGACAUAAUUUAUAAUAAAAAGGGGACUGCUUUAUAAUAAACUGGCUACCCCAGAUAAACAUGUAAAAUAAAUAAAAAGACUAAAAGAAAUUGUCCGAGUCAAACAAAGAGAUGUUUUGGUUUUAUUUGGAUCAGAAACCCAACUUGUUAAUCAUUAUCCGACCCAAAGGCCGAACUCUUAAACAAGUAAUAAUGUCAUUAGCCUCACCGUUAAUAUUUGUUGGGAUCAUCAUUUUCGAAAAGGGCUACCCGUCCCACCCCACCUAGGCUGGAUGUCAAGUCUAAAGGCGUUCUAUGAUAAGGACAAAACUAACGUUUUUAGUAAUACUUAUCGUCCCAACUAUCGUCCAAGAGGCAUUGGACUUUACUAUUUUGGAUUUGUGUUCUAAACUAAAAGAAAGCUAUGUUGCCUAGGACUCGAAAUGUAAAUAUAUUGGACAACAAGUAACACGUAAUAAUCCCAAGUUAGCCUCUUGAUUAAUUAACAUUUAUUAACGUGAUAGCAUGCGAAGACAGACAAUUAUAUAAUACGGCAUUAACCUAUAGGCAUGAUGUCUAAAUGUUCAAUCAAGUGGUGAUAAAGGACAACUGUGAUUCGUGCAUGCAACAAUGUAAUGCGUGUUCAUGAGGGUGUCACAAGUGUGGUAAAUGUGUCGAGAAAUAUUUUUUGAAUUGAGUGUUGCAAACUAAUGAGAAUAGAAGAAAUAAACAAGAAUAUUAAAAAGCACUAACAUGUUAAGGAUGCCAUAAUAUACUUACUCUAGUGUUUAAACGUACCGAAAAGUGCUCAAAAGUAUGUAUUUUUAUAUAACAGCAAUUGUAUUAUUUCAGAAAUUUCAUAGUGACAUGCUGAGAGUGUAUAAAUUAUACAAAAGAUGUCUUAAAGCUAACAUUUUGAUAUGCUGAUAUAUUUAAACAUGAUAGAGAUAUGCCAACAUACAGAAACUUUAACAUGCUAGAAGUAGUUAUGACAUGCUGAAAUUUAUUAGAUGCAUAGAAUUUUAAUGUUCUAAUGUUAAUAACAUGCUAAAUUUGUAUAGAUACACAAAAAUAUAUUUUAAACGUGUUGAAAUUUAUUUAAACAUGCUGAGAUUUGUCUUAAUGUGCCGAAAUACCAUAUUAACAUGCUGAAAAUUGCAAUAGCCCAAAAUAAUGAUAUGCAAAAAAAGUGAAUGUAUUAACCUAUUUGCACUUAAUUUAACAUGCUUAAAAUAAGUUAACAUGCUAAGCGAUAAUUACCUCAACAUGUCAACAUGUUUAAGAUUCACUAUACGACAUACCGGAAGAUACAUUGAUAUGUUUAUGUCGAAUUAAUGUGCCCGUUAUGCUAUAAUACAUAAUGUUAGGUUAAUAUGCUUAUAUUCGUGUUAACAAGAUUGGCAUAUUAAAUCGUUCACACCUAAUACUAAAAUUAUGUUAACAUAUCGGGAUUGACUCAAAUUCGUUAGCAAACAAAUUAAGCAUUGCAUAUGUUAAUGAAUCCUAGAUGAUCCACGUAGCACGUAUUACAUAUAAUUCUAGUUUGUGCGUACUUAUACCGUUCACAGAGCAUGUAAAUUCUCUCCCCCCAAAGCAGUCCCCAGAAUUAUACUACUACAAUGAUAGGAAUGUCUUACAAUAAUAUUACAGAACAAAUAGUAAUAAAGGAAAAACAACUAGUUAAAAAAUACAUAAUUUAAAUAUUCUGGGGACUCUUUGGAACUUGUACGUGUCUGUUUAACCUGCGAAACAUAUUAUAAUGGCAAGAAGACAGGAACACAUAGUAGCAAACAUCAAAAUAUUCCUAAAGACAUACUUUCUAAAGGUUUUUAGAACAUAGUGCAAUCAACACACAUAGAGAAUGAAAAAUUACAUCGUUCAAGAACUCACCAGUGAACAGCAGUACAGAGAGAAUAAGAACAAUAUGAGCCAAAAGCCAAGCACACGUAAUAGUUGAAGUAUGCAAGAUAUUAACAACAGUCUUCAAAAAGAAACACUUUAAAAUAUUUAAUUGCCUUAGAGAGUAGUAGUAGUAAUUGUAAUGUCAAAGCUUAAGAGUUUAAGAGCUUAAGAACCUGUGAACUUGUGAACUUGAGAAGUGAGAGCUUGUGAACUUGUGAACUUGAGAAGUGAGAGCUUGUGAACUUGUGAACUUAUCCCUUACUGAAAAAAAUGAAUGAGUUUAUAUAGUAAAAGAGAUUAGAGGGUAAAAGGAGAAAAAUAGGUUUUCCACUCAAUCGAAAUCAAUAAGGAGAGAGAAAUAAGCUGAGAAUCAAUCCAUAAUAUUAUUUUUCUUAGUUAAGUAAGGAGAAUUAUUUGUAAGCAGGUUUACCGUAAAUAGACGAGAGAUGAGUACAAGGAAGCACUAAUUUAGGAGGGAAUAAGUACUAAUGGUAGAAACAUAUCAAGGUUGGUAAUUACCAUAAAUCAAUCCAGAUUUUUAAAAAAACCUUUCCAUACCACACAAGAAUAAAAUUUUAGAAAAAUCACAGACAUAUCCAGUUUACCUAAAAUAAGCAAGGACAAGAGCUAUCUUUCAAUUUCAUCCCAAUCAUAUGUCAAUAAAAAAUCUUACUUGAUUGUAAACAAACCGGAGCCUACUAUAAUCAGCUAUCAUAAUACUUUUAGCUCACCAAAUAAAGAUGGCUGGAAAUUCGAAUUUUAAAUAGAUGACCCAAACACAUUUUAGACCAAAAAGUAACAACUUUUAUCCGUAAGUGAAGGAUAUCAGAUUUAGAGGUAUCACACUUUAAAUUACGAAAUUAAAAUAAUAAAACUUGGGGAUUUUAAUAGGUAUGUAAGUCUGGAGACGAACAUAAGCCCGAAAAUUGACAAAUAGGAACAAAAUUUAGAGUCACAGUAUCGUAAUUUAUAAAGCUGCAGGGCUACGAUUUACAAUCAUAGUAAAGAAUCAUGCAUGUUAACCAAAGCAAACAACCAUGUAAUUAAGAGUUUGAGAAAUCAAACCAGAUAGAAAUAGUCUUUGUUUGUUGAAAGCCUCGCUAGUUAUGACAACUAGAUAGUGAUAAUGGGGUCUUUCAUCGACCAGGAAGAAAAGAGUGAAGCAGCGACGGCAGUGACGAGACGGAUCGAUUGGACGAUGGGGAGGUCUGUUCUUGUUGGUGCUGCUUUGGGUGAAUGGUGUGGCGCCAUGGCUACUGGUGAUAGUGGAAAGGUGGCACUGGGGUUGAUUCGCUGCUUUUGGUGGCGAUAUGGCUGCUAGGAGUACGAAGAUGAGGGCGUUGUUGUGGCCGUCGUUGAUGGAGGCGCCAUGGCUGGUGCGGCGAUGGUAUGUCGAUUGGAGGAUGAAGGGGACUCAUGGUGGCUAUUGCUGCUGCUUUGUGGCGGCGCUUGGUUUGUCGGAGAAGAAGGAUGAUGGAGAAAAGAAGGAAGAGAGGGGGGCGGCACUGACGUUGAUGUGGCCGGCAGCUAUGGCUGCCGAUAGAGAGGGGAUUAGAGGGAGAGAAGAGAGGUAUAGAGAGAAAGAGGAGAGAGGGGUAUUGGAGGCGGAUGAAAAAAUAUUUUUGUGAAAUUAGGUUUUGGGAUCUUAAAAAGGAAAGAAAAGGUUGAGGCAUCUCAGUCAUUGGAUCAAUUUUGAUCAAUGGUUGGGAUUAAAAUAGUAUUAAUAACUUGAUUUGGUUAAAAAUGAAACACUUCUGGCUAAAUUUGACAUGAAAUAGCCAAAAUUAACUAGAUUUGUAAAGAUUAGGCUAUAAGAUGAAUAAAUUGGAUAAAUUGGUUUUUAAAAUUAGGUUUUUAUUUAAAUUAAAGUAGAGAUAGUAAAUAAGAAUAAGAAUAAUUGAAUAAAUAAUAAUAAUAAUAAACAAUAAAUUAUAAUGUAUAAUAACAAUGUCAAUAAAUAAUAAAUAAAUAAAUUUUAUAUCAAGAAAUAGUAUUAAGUAAUGGAAAACUAUAUAAUGUAUUUGCAAAAAUAUGAGUGUGCACGAUUAUGUGAAAAAAGUAUAUUUAAUUAAUAAAAAUUGCGUAAAAUGUCAUAAUUGAUUUUAAAAUGAUGCUAAAAGAUAAUAAAAUAAUUUAUGUAUUUUUCUAAAUUAUGAAUUGAGACACGUUAGUAUGUAUUAAAAAUAGAAAUGAUAUGUAAAAAAUAUUAAUAAUUAAGGUUAAAUAAUUUUGAUAAAUAACGGCCUAAAAGUGAUAUCGGGAGGUCAAAAUUGGGUGUCAACACUAAUCAUGAAAAAUGGCUAUUUAUGUGUUGUGCCCGUGUAGGGACCUAUAUGUGAUGAGACUAUCGAAAUUGAGUUAAUAUGUGAUAUAUGUGACCGUGUGGGAUCCUAUGUGAUAUUAAUAGCCUUGAAUAUAUGUUAAUAAUUGUAUUGUGUUGUUAUGAUGCUUAAUAUGGUACCAUUGGUGUAUUAUGAUUAUAUUCAUACUUUAUUUGACAUAUGAGACAUGUGGAAAUUCGUGGAUGAAACUGAUAUAAUGAGUGGAUAUUGGCUCACAUGGUUGUGGAAAUAUAUCAUUGUGGUUGGUUAUGAAAAUACUCAUUGUUAUUGGUUGUGAUCAUUACAUCCCCAUACAUAAUCAUUCAUGAAAUAUUGGUACCACCGUGGCAACAUAUGAGAAACACUGGCAACACCUUUUUAAAACGCUCUUCAGAGAAUGUUUCAGGGAGGAGAUAUUGUAACACCUUAUAAAACCCUUUUCAAGGGAUGUAAUGGAAAGGAUAUAUAAGAUAUGUGGAUUGCAUAUGGGUUGACGAAUCCCCCAUGGGUCCUACGUCAGUAAGCUUUAGCUCCAUAGGUGUAUACAGGGAUUGUUCGAUAAUUUCGGAGGUUGUACGAUGACCUCGUGCAUCAUCAUCAUCAUUUACAUUGCACUUACUUUAUUGUGUUUAUCUAUUUUGUAUUGCCAUAUUGACUUGUCAUCUAUGUAUUUUUUCUUACCUUUCUUUACUUGUAUUUGAUGAUCUUGUAUCUACAUGUUCUCCCUUGUUCCAUUUAUAUGUGACAUAAUGUAUAUUUGUGUUCUAUAUCUUGGUGUAUUGUUGUAAUAUAUGUGAGAUAUGUUAGAACUGUUAGUGCAAGUGGUGUGGGACAUUUUUUGAUUACGGGUGAUGUGCCCUUAGUGUAUAUUUUGUAUGCUUUACUUACUAUUUUGCUUGGUUGGCCUAUGAUACUUGAUGAGUACAAGUGGAUCGUACUCAUGCCUACUGCGCCCUUUCGGUGCAGGUUCUAGCUUGAGUGCGCCUUAACUUGCUUGAUUCGGGCGAUUGUUGGAGCUUUCAAUGUAGCGAUUGGCCAUUCAUGCGUCCGAAGUUCACCUCUAUCUUUCUAUAGCAGUUAUGUCUUUAUUAGUAUUCGGAGACAGUUAUUAUUCCUUUGUGGUUAUUUUUCUAAUGUAUUUAACUCUUGGAUUGUAUUAGUAGUUCUUACGCUAAUGACACCUGGUUUUGGGCAUGAUUGGUAUUUUUGAUAAGUUCUUUUCGUAUUGUUAUGAUUACUUAUAUAGUUCGGCUUCGUUCUAGAAGCCUUACCUUGGAAUAUUUUUGUCUUUUCCUCUUUUCGUAUCAGUUUGGGUGAUAGGCUUACUAGUCAAGGUACGCAGCGGCAAAUGUCAUCAUGACCCUCAAUUUUUUGUCGUGACACUUCAUAUCUAUUGGAGAUAAUUUUAAGCUAAACACUUCACAUCUAUUGGAGAUAAUUUUAUCUAAUGUUCUCUUUUAAUUUAUUUUAAUUCAUAUUCUUUACAAAAUUAUACCUUUGUCUCUAGGAUUAAAAGAAAUUCAAUAUUAUACGAAACAACUUAAAAUUGAAUGAAAACAUACCACUUGUUAUAUAAUAUAAACACACACCAAAUUAGUAACAAAAUUUUAUUAACAAAUAUAAAUUGCAAUUAAAAUUAUGAAGAAAAUAAAUAAAUUGAAGUAUUUAAAUACCUACAAAUUUAUUUGAUAACCCCCUAGAAUAAAGUAGGUAUGUAAAUGUAGUAUUGUUUCAUAGUGAUCUUUAUGCUUAAGAGAAAUUUAUUAAGAUAAAAAGUUAUGACACAAUAAUAUUCAUGUGCAUACAAAUAUAUUUACAUUCAUUCUUUAUGAAACUGAUCUAGUGAAUCUCCUUUAUAUAUUUCAAGUCUCCAUUGUACUUGUUGAUUUCUCAAAUUCAUUUGCAUUUUUUAAAAUAUUUACAUACAUCAUAUCCAUGGAAACUUCAAAUUCCUUAGAUACAUCUAUGAUAAAUAAAUAAAUAAAUAUAAUGUUAAUAAUAAUAAAUAAUAAAAUAAUUAAAAAGUAAAUUAAGCAUAUAAAUAUAUCUUGAUGGUUAUUCUGAGAAAUCUAAUGAUGAACAUAACCUGUAAUCUUUUUAUCCAUGAUAUAUACAUCUAUGAUAAAAGAAAAAAUAAAUACAAUAUUAAUACUAAUACUAAUACUAAUAAAUAAUUUAAAAAGCUAAAUUAAAUAUAAACAACUUACCUUGAUUGCAACUCAGAUAAAUCUGAUGAACAUUUCCUAUAAUCUCUUUAUCCAUGAUAAAAAUCAGAGGCAGAGUCAAGAUUUCAAGUAAGGGGGUUCAAUAUUCAAAGAAAACUAAGUCGAAGAGGGUUCAACACCUACUAUAACCACAUAAAAACUAAUUUUAAUCAUGUAUAAAUAGUAUAUUUUUUCGUCGAAGGGGGUUCGGACGAACCCCCUAAAGAGGGCUGGCUCUGCCUCUGAUAAAAAUACUCUAUAAUAAAAUGUAAAUAUAUAUUCUACAUAAGUGAUUAUUGCUAAGAUUUGAUAGUCUAUUCAAUCAAAUAAAAGAAAUUUCAUAAACAUAAGAACAAAAACAAACAAUUAUAGCAACUACAUUAGAAGUUUAUUCUAUACAGUUCUUUUGAGUGUAUCUUCAUUGAAGAUAUAAACACAUUACAAAUGUAUCAAACAUCAAUGAUCAUUAAAAGAAUUAUAAUAUUGACAUCAUAAUGAGUUUUUAACUUUCUUUGUUAUAUUUUUUCUAAAUAUUUGUUAAUAGUAUUACACGUAAAUAUAGGAUAAUUGAAGAAAUCCUCCGUCCACAUAAACUUAUAAAUUAAGAAUUAUAUGAACAUAAUCAAUCAAAAUCUAUACCAACUUAAGUUUAACAUCAAUUUGCGCAAAGUGUUGGAUGAUAAAAGGUAAGCCAAAUAUCAUAAGUACACGAUUUCAAGCAAAGAACAAAAUAAAGAAAAAUAGCCAAUAAUGAUUGCACAUAGAAUACACCAAAUAACUGUUGAUUGCCUAACAUAUAAAUCAACUUCAUAAUGACUAAUAUAUAUAUAUAUAAACUGUAAAAUAACAAAAUAAAAAGUUGCAAUAAAUAAAUGUUUACAUCCAAAUGAUAAUAGUUACCGACCUACUUUUAAGUUUCAAUAAGUCUACUCACCUAAGAGGAGAAAAAAAAGAAGAGAAAAUAUGAAUAGUAGAAAGAACAUAUUUGUAUGGAAUGAUGAAUGUUGAUGGCUUUAUAUAGAUAAUGUUUUAAAUUUGAAAUUUCAAAGUUGAAAUAGUCAACUUACUGAUAAACUUGAAUUCAAAAUCAAAAUGAAACUACAGUUAUCAUAUUAGAUGGAACAUGGAUGACCUAUAACCGAUAGGUUUCUUUGCAUAUCUCUUUCAAUUUUUUGGGUUUAAAAUCGUAAAUCAAAUUUAAAAUGUGCAUUUGCAUAAUUACAGAUUUUUUUAAUUAUUAUUAUUAUUAUACUAUACUACUGCUACUACUGUACUACUACAAUUAACAACAGUAAUACAACAACAACAACAACAACAAACCCAGUGUAUUCCCACCUAGUGGGGUCUGGGAGGGGUAAGAUGUACGCAGUCCAUACCUCUACCUCUGAUGAAGUAGAAAGGCUGUUUCCAAUAGACCCCCGGCUCAAGGCACGAGAUACCACACAAACACAUAGUGCAGCACAGAAGUAGAUUACAUAACAUAAAUACGGCACCCAUAAGUAAUAUAAAGCAGAGAAAAGCAGGGGAAAGCACACAGAUUCGUAAUACAACAUGGAACACGGAACACGGAAUCAUGACAAGAAUAAAACCCCCACCAAGUAAUCCCCUACACUAGCGACCCGAACUGGCCCUAAUCCUCUGCCGUAAUUCGCGUCCUCCAGACCUUCCUAUCUAGGGUCAUGUCCUCGGUGAGCUGUAACUGUUCCAUGUCCCGCCUAACCACCUCACCCCAGUACUUCUUCGGCCUACCCCUACCCCGCCUAAAACCAUCCAACGCUAGCCUCUCACACCUACGGACCGGGGCAUCCAUGCCCCUCCUCUUCACGUGUCUGAACCAUCUCAAUCGUGCUUUCCGCAUCUUGCACUCCACUGAAGUCACACCAACCUUCUCCCGGAUAGUCUCAUUCCGAACUCUAUCCCCUCUAGUCAGUCCACACAUCCAGCGCAACAUCCGCAUUUCUGCCACCCUCAUUUUUUGGAUAUGGGAGUUCUUAACUGGCCAACACUCCGCUCCAUACAACAAGGCCGGACAGACUACCACCCUNNNNNNNNNNNNNNNNNNNNNNNNNNNNNNNNNNNNNNNNNNNNNNNNNNNNNNNNNNNNNNNNNNNNNNNNNNNNNNNNNNNNNNNNNNNNNNNNNNNNNNNNNNNNNNNNNNNNNNNNNNNNNNNNNNNNNNNNNNNNNNNNNNNNNNNNNNNNNNNNNNNNNNNNNNNNNNNNNNNNNNNNNNNNNNNNNNNNNNNNNNNNNNNNNNNNNNNNNNNNNNNNNNNNNNNNNNNNNNNNNNNNNNNNNNNNNNNNNNNNNNNNNNNNNNNNNNNNNNNNNNNNNNNNNNNNNNNNNNNNNNNNNNNNNNNNNNNNNNNNNNNNNNNNNNNNNNNNNNNNNNNNNNNNNNNNNNNNNNNNNNNNNNNNNNNNNNNNNNNNNNNNNNNNNNNNNNNNNNNNNNNNNNNNNNNNNNNNNNNNNNNNNNNNNNNNNNNNNNNNNNNNNNNNNNNNNNNNNNNNNNNNNNNNNNNNNNNNNNNNNNNNNNNNNNNNNNNNNNNNNNNNNNNNNNNNNNNNNNNNNNNNNNNNNNNNNNNNNNNNNNNGCGGUACUCCACUCACCUCCAAGCAUCUCCAAAGCACCUCCCUGGGGACUUUGUCGUAAGCCUUCUCCAGGUCGAUAAUCACCAUGUGCAGAUCCUUCUUCCUCUCCCUAUACUGCUCCACCAACCUCCGUACCAGGUGGAUUGCUUCCGUCGUCGAGCGGCCGGGCAUAAAUCCGAACUGAUUCUCCGAAAUAGACACUAUCCGUCUCAGCCUCACCUCGACCACUCUCUCCCAGAUCUUCAUCGAGUGACUCAAUAACUUAAUCCCCCUAUAGUUAUCGCAACUCUGAAUGUCCCCCUUAUUCUUAUAGAGAGGGAUCAUGGUACUCCACCUCCACGCCUCGGGCAUCUUUGCCGUCCUGAAAAUUUCAUUAAACAAUCCAGUCAACCACCUUACACCAA
rnacentral:lncRNA from 1 species